rnacentral:misc_RNA from 1 species
AUUUAUUUGUAUAUAUGUUAAUAUAGCUAGAUAUAUUACACCUAUUCGAGCCAUUAGGAAUCCAGCUAUAUGUAGCUAAUUGGAGAUACAGAGCAUAUAUAACUCGCCCGCUUGUAAUCUUCCCUUCUUUAUUAUUACUUUGUUUCUUUAUUUAUUUUCCCUUUCCCUUCCUUUUUCAUGGCACAUAUGGGGUCAAAUGGUAGAAAGAUCUUUUAGUGGAAAAUACAUUGAUUGGAGACAUGCAGGCCAUUAUAAUUAAAUUAAUUAUAAUUAUUGUCCUCGCCUUCUUCCCCCGGAGCCACUCUCCCUCUGGCAGUUAAAGUAAACAGCGGCCACCGGCAAUCCAAGAUUGUAAAGCUCAGCAAAGUCCCUAGUGUUAAAAUUCUGACGCCACCCAGGUGCAUACACAGUCUGCCUCCCUAGUUGCCGGAAUAAUACGAAAACAAACCGAUGAAUCCCCACCGACGGCCGUGGACUCUCAUAGCACACAACCUCCUGCCCAAAGCCUGCUCCUGUAGUUGCUGGAAUAUCGGUCACCAACCAAUGCAAGUAUUCUCUGAGAGUAGGGUCACUGGGGCUAGGAGCGUCAGGGUCCACCAUGACCAAAGUGUAGAAGAUCCUUAAAUCAUCUCCACCUACAUCAACCCUAGGUUGGUUGACAACUUGAGAGGGUUUGAGCUCACAGCCAUUGUUGACAUGAUCUCUGUUAUUGUAAGUGACAUGAAGAGAAAUAGACCUUGUGAAGGGAUCCAAAACAUCCCCUACCACACGUCCAACAACCAGAGGAUCUCUAGGCAUUUUCAAAUAGGAGAAGCACAAGUGGAGCAGUAAUAUUAUUCUGUUGAUGGGUUGUUGCUAGCUAUGAAAUUCAAUCACAUACAUUAGGUAUUUAUAUAUUGUUCUGAGGUAUCCAGCUUUUACUUUCUAUGCCA